UCCUAGGCGACAUAUACCAUGAUCUCUUUAUCCAGAAACUGUUCAGAAUAGAUAGUAGGGGUGGGGGAGUGGGCUUGGGAAUGUUGAAUAGAUUCAGAGCCCACUUAGGCAGCUUUCUCCCAAGAGGAGCUUUAUAACCUAGAGCCCUGCAGUUGACUUCAUUUGCCUAAGUUUAUAUACAUACAUAUCUAUUCUACAUAUCUACUGUACAUCAGUGCUCUCCUGGCCUCACUCACACAUUAAAUUCUAAUACCUCUUGAAGUAUUAAUGUUCUGCCUUGCUCUUUGUUAGCCCCAGCCUCUGGUUGGAAAGAUAGAUGUAUCCUGGCUGUUCCCCUAGGAUAUCUCUCUCCAUUGAUGUUUGGGGUGGGCUGUCCUCAAGACCAAAGCAACAGAAACCUGUGGUCACAGAGAAUCUAACAGGAAGAGUCACUGUUCUCUUCACUCAUUCCAAAUCUUGUUCCCUUGAGACCUGGGCCUUGGGUGAAUUUUCCUGGGCUCCCCUAAAUGGUUCAGGUGCCAAAAUAGAGCAAACCCAAGCUCUGCCCACCCCAUGCAGAAAAGGACAAACAGGCCUUUAUUAGCCUUUGCCAGCUAAGACACAGAGAACAUUCUCUGGUCCCUUCCAGCUCUUAUGGUCUCACUCAGGGCUAAAGAAAGCAACAGUUGCCACCACAAUCAGGAGGGAGUGACGGUUGGGGUGUUGUAUUAUAAUCCAGCAGUGGGCCAGUGGGUAGAACUGCUAGGAACCUAGUUUGAUCUGCUGCAGGGGAGGCAGGGCAGUGGCUUGGGUCCAGAAGCUUAGGGUUGCCUCCUCCACCACUAAGUCACAGGUCCAGGGUGUCAGACUUCACAGCAUAACAUCUGCCUUAGUGUUCAUGAGGUCUCUGGGCAGGAGAACUGGGUAUCUGGAUAGAUGGUUGAGCAGGUGGUAGGCGGGCAUCAAUCAUAGAACCUGGGCAUCAGUCAGAGUGGGAGCAUAUUUGUAGAAGCCUAGAUUGUGGGCGGGAAUGUGGGACGGAGGGCUCAAGGACUUUGGAGGCAUAUGCCUGCCUAAGCCUUAGGCGGGUACAUGUUAUGGAGCAAUUUUUUACCAGGAAAGUCCUGGAAAAUCUUUUCUGUUAUCCCCACCCCACCUGAGAGCUCUUGGGCUGCUGAGGGCCUGUGGCAACUGCAGUGGGCCAGGCAUGGUAGAAAAGAUGUAGAUCUUGUUAUGUAGGAUUUGCGUUGUAGGUGGACUGAAGCAGCAGGUCAAGAGUUGAAUUCUCACUAAGGGGUCACUGACAUUUUGUGGUCCUGUGUUUACCUUAAUGCCUAAGGUGAGUGUAUUGUUCAAGGGUCCAGGGACAGUCACUGCAGUAUGUGUGGGGAAUUUUCCCACAGUAAGGUAAAUGGAUCCUUGGGUACUAUGAAUCCAACUUGGGGUUGGAUUUACCAAAAUGUGUUGUAUGUUGUUAGACAUCUUGUUGUGUAUUAGUCUUCUAAGGAUAUUGUGCAUGGCACUGUGUAGUUUAUAGCCCUACACUGGAAGGAUGGUGAAGGGAGUUGCUAGAUUGAUAGCCUAAAGAAAACCUUCUGACUGUGGGAUUAGCAUCAAUGAUAAGGAAUGUGAGCAUUUGCUGGGGUUGUUGUCAAAUAGUAUCAGAGAACAGUUAGGACUGAGAGGUGAUUUCUUCUUGACAGAAUUUGAUAGAGGCCAAAAAGCCAUUACGAGGAUACCUCUGCUUCCAGUGACAGCAGAGUGGAUUCACAUUGAUUGGGCAUUGUCACGGAAGGCUGACUAGCUGGAGGACAUCAGGCUGUGCUAUGCUUCCCUAGGGAGGACAUGUGCCCUUCCCUCCAGAUUAGAAAGGCUAGAAUCAAGAGUUUCAAGUGCUCAUUUUCUUCAAGGUCCAAGGUUGGGAACUAUUUCCCUACAGAGAAAUCUGUUUGAGUUUCUGGUGCUCCAGGAAAUGGGUUGGCAGGACACAGAAAUGAGAAACCCUGAGGCCAGGAAGAGGCCAAUCCUAGGAGAUGUUUUCCCUCCAGAUUCAUUUUAAGGAAUAUCUGUGCUUCCUGAUGUGUGUGCUUGAGAUUUGGGCUCUAUAUCCAGCAUUUGAACUCACAUUCUCAGUGGCAGAGUCAUGGUCUGUGGCACCAUUUCAAGGCCAAAAAUCCCAUCCAAUUUCCCUUCACAUAGAUGACAGAAAAGCAAGAAAGUAGCUGCCUUAACUCGAACAGUUCUGGGAAAAAAACUGGGGGCCUUGUCCUGAGGCUGUGGAGACUUAAUUCUUCAGCUGGGUGGUUCCCGUAGGAACAAGGAACACUUUAGCUACUUCUUACUCUUUUAACACCAAUGGCUGUGGGAGAAGGAAAGGCUCAAGGCCAGGGCUCAGCUCGCAGAGUCCAUCUUCUCCCACAGUUGCCACAUUUGAGAGGGGGCCUGCUGAAUGCCCUUGCUGUCCCCUAUGGCAGUAUUGAGGCCUGACCGAAGUCUGGUAUGCUGCUUGCUGGCUACAAGAACUGGUCACAGGAUGAAAAUUGGGGAAAGGAUUUGGGGGAGGUGACAAGGGUGGCAUGGAAGUCUAGGGGACAAAGGGACAGGGUUGGGAACAAAUUGGUUAACUUUGAUUGCCACUCACUGUGGUGCUUUCCCCCUUUCCCUUGAAUUCUGCUUUGAAAAGAAUAAAUUUGUACUUGUUU
rnacentral:lncRNA from 1 species